UCUGUUCCGGUUCACCGCUCUGGCGGACCCGGCGACC
rfam:Actinomyces neuii BVS029A5 genomic scaffold supercont1.2, whole genome shotgun sequence.